ACCUGGGUGGCUCAGUCGGUUGGGCAUCUGACUUCAGCUCAGGUCAUGAUCUCAGUUUGUGGGUUCAAGCCCCCCGUCAGGCU
rnacentral:tRNA from 1 species